GGAUUUUUACCAAACUUGGACAGAAGCUUCUCACAAUCAAAAGAUAGUAUCGAGAGGAAUAAUUUUAUUGAUUUUUUUCAUCAUUUUUGAUGAGUGUUUGAUUAACAGCAAAAGUAGGCGAGACACUGGGUUCCACGGAACCCUUACAAAUUUUUAUUGUUAAAGAUUGGGGGAAAAGUUUGUGAAUUUUUGUUGUCAAGUUUAUAGUGGAAAAAUUAAUAUCCCAAAUAGAUCGGUCAACAACAAUGGAGAUUCGAUUCAAUAUUUAGGGUGUUUUGGCUCUAGAAUUACCAAGCUAUAAAAUAUUGGAUGUAUACAGUCAAUUUUAUGAAGUUCAUAGUUUGUGAUGUCUCAAUUAUUUGUCAUUAAUGUAACUGUUUACCGUAGUGGAGGGAAUUACCCAUGUCUGUCUACCUUCAUCCCAAAAUUGGUUUUCGUUUAUUUACCUCAACCAAAUGUGAAACUUGUGCACAAAACUCGGAUCAACUACAAGUUUGGAUAGAGGCACUUUGACCAUUCUUCAGUAGCUGUGUACCUUUAUAACGUUGUACACAAGGGUGGUUUAAUCUUUGUCCCAUGAACA
rnacentral:lncRNA from 1 species